rnacentral:tRNA from 1 species
GUCCGUGCUGGAGUGGCGGCGCCACUGGAUGCCCUCGACAUCCACGGUCCCGGUCUGCGGGGCCCGGUCGAUCCGCUCGGCCGUCCAGGUG